rnacentral:rRNA from 1 species
UACGUAGGGUGCUAGCGUUGUCCGGAAUCACUGGGCGUAAAGGGUUCGCAGGCGGUCAAUUAAGUCAGAUGUGAAAGCCCCGAGCUUAACUUGGGAAUUGCAUCUGAAACUGGUUGGCUAGAGUCUUGUAGAGGGGGGUAGAAUUCCACGUGUAGCGGUGAAAUGCGUAGAGAUGUGGAGGAAUACCGAAGGCGAAGGCAGCCCCUUGGGAAUGUACUGACGCUCAUGUGCGAAAGCGUGGGGAGCAAACAGG